rnacentral:rRNA from 1 species
AAACGGCGGCCGUAACUAUAACGGUCCUAAGGUAGCGAAAUUCCUUGUCGGGUAAGUUCCGACCUGCACGAAUGGCGUAAUGAUGGCCAGGCUGUCUCCACCCGAGACUCAGUGAAAUUGAACUCGCUGUGAAGAUGCAGUGUACCCGCGGCAAGACGGAAAGACCCCGUGAACCUUUACUAUAGCUUGACACUGAACAUUGAGCCUUGAUGUGUAGGAUAGGUGGGAGGCUUUGAAGUGUGGACGCCAGUCUGCAUGGAGCCGGCCUUGAAAUACCACCCUUUAAUGUUUGAUGUUCUAACGUGGACCCGUGAUCCGGGUUGCGGACAGUGUCUGGUGGGUAGUUUGACUGGGGCGGUCUCCUCCUAAAGAGUAACGGAGGAGCACGAAGGUUGGCUAAUCCUGGUCGGACAUCAGGAGGUUAGUGCAAUGGCAUAAGCCAGCUUGACUGCGAGCGUGACGGCGCGAGCAGGUGCGAAAGCAGGUCAUAGUGAUCCGGUGGUUCUGAAUGGAAGGGCCAUCGCUCAACGGAUAAAAGGUACUCCGGGGAUAACAGGCUGAUACCGCCCAAGAGUUCAUAUCGACGGCGGUGUUUGGCACCUCGAUGUCGGCUCAUCACAUCCUGGGGCUGAAGUAGGUCCCAAGGGUAUGGCUGUUCGCCAUUUAAAGUGGUACGCGAGCUGGGUUUAGAACGUCGUGAGACAGUUCGGUCCCUAUCUGCCGUGGGCGCUGGAGAACUGAGGGGGGCUGCUCCUAGUACGAGAGGACCGGAGUGGACGCAUCACUGGUGUUCGGGUUGUCAUGCCAAUGGCACUGCCCGGUAGCUAAAUGCGGAAGAGAUAAGUGCUGAAAGCAUCUAAGCACGAAACUUGCCCCGAGAUGAGUUCUCCCUGAGACUUUAGGUCUCCUGAAGGAACGUUGAAGACGACGACGUUGAUAGGCCGGGUGUGUAAGCGCAGCGAUGCGUUGAGCUAACCGGUACUAAUGAACCGUGAGGCUUAACCUUACA